CCAUUUUGUGUUUCUUUCGCAAUAAAAACAAACUGCGAGUGGAGAUUUUGAUUUAAACGAUAAGAUUUGAAGCUCUUGGUUACUGCUCCUGGAUCGGAUUGGAUCGAUCUGAUUUCUUCUUUCUUUGUGCUAAUCUGUUUGUUUUGAUUCAUCUGUUCGUAUCGAUUUUCUUCGUUCUUGCUCAUGAUUUUUCGUUCUUGUUGUGGAUUCUCUUUGAGGAACGUUGCGAUGCUCACCGAGGUCACGGCACUGUUUGAUUUGUCUUUCAGAAGCUUUUAAUUACGUGUUGUCGGCACUGUUACCGACGUCCUGCAUGGAGGAGAGAGAAUCGAGUUUUUUUUUUCUUUUUUUUUUUUGUUUCUUUAACCGCUUAUUUAUUUCGUACUGAACCUAAGAGCCCUAAUUAAUUUCCAGUACCUUCAGAAAAUGUUUGUUCCUUCAUGAAAUGUUGUGUUGAUGGUUUGGAUUUUGAGCGGCUUUAUGGUUUUUGAUGCUCCGGAUCUGGCCUCGCUUCGUCGUCUUCAUCAUUCUAUGAUCUAUCUCUCUCUCGUCUCUCUGCGGAUUUCUAUGUGUAUACGUUUGUCUCCAUUACACAUGUGAAAGAUUAUUUACUGAAAAUUAUUUGUUUAUCGUUCUUGAUGGUGUUUUACUCUAUAGGUAAUCGUCCCUGGGACUUGGAAUUUGACAGAAGAGAGUGAGCACCCAGAGGCACUUGGUAUAAAGUGUAUACUAAUGCUUUUGCGUGCUCACUUCUCUCUCUGUCAGAUUCGAUAGAUGGAUCGGGCUCCGUAAUUUUUUGCCAUCGGUUUGCCGUUUUAGUUUCACAUUCUUUUUUGGACUUGGAAUUGUAUGUGUCUUUCAUCCAGUGAAUCGGAUUUGCAGUUUUUUAGAGCGUGCCUUUUCAUGUUGCUCACUGACCGGAGUUCUCGGCGCGACCAUGAAAAUACCGUACAACGGGACCUCUCUCAAUGUAGAUAUAGGUGUGAGGAUAAUAUAAAGACGUAUGUGUUGAAUUGAGCAGCUGUUCGCUUUAACAGGCUUCAUUCUCUUUUUGCGAGUUAAUGCUCGGGAAUUUCGGGAAUUUCCUUAUUAUCCGAUGUUUACUGGGCAAAUGGAGGUGACGUUUUUGCGCAAUAAUGUUCAUUUCCGUUUUUGCGCAAUAAUUAUUGAUAGGACGUUGGAGAAAAUGCUACAUUAUAGGGGUCAUAAUUUUCACGCCGAUCAGCGGAAUUUAAUGUGCUACACUUAGGUAUCACAGUCUUGAUUUCUUUUACCUUGCAUUUGUAACUGCCGCUUCUGCUGCUGAUGCUGUGAAGAAUAUUUCGAAUUUAUUGCAAUGUUUUAAAGCUAGGAUUAUUAUAAAUAUAUGAUUUCGAAUAAAGCUAAUCAGUACGUGCCUUUCUAUUUGAUCUUAAAUGCAAUUGUGCUUUUCAAAUCUUUUCUAACCAGACCUAUGUUUCCCUCCUAAGCAGUAUAUUAAUAAUUUUAUGGAAUUCUUCGAAAUUAGUCAAGUUUCUCUCUAAUUCAAGUUUAUGGAGGAGAGUAUCAUUAUUUUAAUAACCAAUAAGUGAAAUAUUUAUUUUCAACCUGGGUUAGUGAUAAGGGAAAUCCUUUCACCUUGCUUGUUGAAGUUGAUAGAAAUUAAUUUUGUGUUGAUUUUUAAAUAAUUUUAAUUUCUUUACUUUGAAAUGUUCCUUCGUUAUCUAUGAGUGAUAUCUUAUUUGUUUUCCAUAAAAAGAAUAUCAUUCUGUGUGUACUAUAGUUUUUACAUUUUAGAGAUUGCCUUUUAGUUUUGUCAUUCCGUGUGUGUGUAGUGUAGAUAUCGUUUGUACAAAUAUUGUGUUGUGUGCCAGGUUACACAUUCUUGCAUCAUGCGUGCAUUCAAGGGUAUGAUAUCAAUUAUAGGAGUCGCUUGCUAAACUUGGAACUUCUAUACUAGUUUUUAUUUAGUUCAUGGUUACAUUUUUUGUUCCUUGAAUAACUACUUUUGACAUUCAUGCCCAGUUCAUCAAUUUGUGAGAACCUAUCUUCUGCCAAUUGUUUGCCAUUGUAGAGUCGAGCCAUGCCCAUCUUUGUUCCUUUUGCAUAUUCAGAGUUGCACAUGUUUUGACACGAAAGUAGCGAUGCAUGAUGACACUUUUUUCACACUUCACACUUCACACUACCCGUCUUGAUACUGUAAGGCCCUUCCAUGCAUUCUAAACUUUUUCCGAAUGAUUUAAUGUUGAAUAGCUAUAUAAUAUGAUGUCUCCCCCCUUUGCUUUCUGCCAAAAUUCUCAUCUUUCUGAGGUUUAAUGCCCUUCUAAUUUGCUAUUACGGUGGACUUGAAUAUGAUGGAAUUGGAAACUUGAGAUAAGUGGAAGGAAGACCUGGAGCAGCUUAACAGGAAGAGGGGGCUGUAUAGCCAAAACGCAGGGUGGACUUAUUUGGUUCUUUAUAAUAUACACUUCCCAUGUUUUGUUGGAAAUGUUCUAAUUUUUUAUGAAUGUUUUUCUUUAUUGUGGUCGGUACCAAAGAUGACUGUAUAGAAUGUUCGAUGACAAUCUACUUCCUGGGUUGCUGGGUCUGUUUUGAACGCACGGCCCGGUGGAUUUAGGGCUUGCUGGGACUGUUUGUUUUUUUAAUGGAUGGGCAGGACGAAACUUAGCCGGUUGGGUUCCCUUUUGGCGAUCAGAUCUCUUCAAUAUCUUACGGGAAUUCCAAGAAAGUCUACGGUCUGUAGUAGACGCGCACAAGAAGACUAAAUUCAAGUUCGUUGUAUAUGGACAUCCUUAUGGGAAUGUUCAAACUUUCCAUAUUAUUUCUACAAAAUAAACAUGGAAUUUUGGAUAUACUAACCCUGGAAGUUUAAGAAUGAGUGCAGUUGUGAACCCAGUCAACAUUCAACAAUCCCUAUUACAUUAUUUCAGGAAUAUCGGUCAACAAUUAUUACUUGUACAAAUCUGUUGGUGAUUUUUUAUUAUAAUUCAAGUACAAUUAAUUUCUUAGUCUUUAUUUUGUUUGUUCCAGUUUUGGGGAUAAUCCAGACAUUGUUAUGACAUGCCCAGCUUCGUUCAUGUUUGUUCUUCCUAUGCUACCUCCCCCUCGUCUACCUAAAUUCGGACAACUAAUUCCAAACUACUUGUUCCUUAUUUUAUUGUUCAACUAUGUCGUGGGUUGGUAAUGUUGAUGUCGUCAUUAUUGUCUCAUUAUUGUGACAUCAGUUCUUUGUGUAGUUUCUUCCCUUUGUAAAGAAGAGUAU